UUAAGAUAUUAUAAAUAUUUAUUAGAAAAAGUAAUUUUUUGUUUAAUUAAUGAUUAAUGAAAUAAUAAUAAUAAUAAUGAUAGAAUAUUAGUAUUGUGAAAGAAUUAUUUUAAUUAUUAAAAAGUAGAUUAUAUAUUGUACCUUGUGUAUCAGGGUUUAUUAAAAUUUUUUAAUUAUUAUAAAUUUUUAGAAUUUUUAAGAGUAAAAAAAUUAUAAAUAUAAUUGUAAAAUAAAUUUUUAUAAUUUUUUUUUAGUAAUGAAAUGUUAUUCGUUUGAAAAUAUAUCUAAUUUUUAAAGAAAUAAAUUUAAUUUAAUAAUUUAUAUAUUGAAUAUUUUAAAAUAAUUAAUAUAGUAAAUUUUAAAUAUUUUAAGGGAUAAGCUUUAAAAUAAAAAAAUUAAAAUAAAUAUUUAUAUUAAAAUAUAUAUAAUUAUAAAUUUUAAAUAUUAAUAGUUUGUUGUAAUUAAUUUUAAUUAAAAUAUAAUUUUAAUUGGUUUAUAAUUAUUUAUUUAAAUAAUUUUAUAAAUAAAAUUUAAAAUUAAAUAAUGAUAAAAUUAGUAUAAAUUUAAAUUAAAAAUAUAGUUAAAUUUAGAUUAUUUAAAGGAAUUCGACAAAAAUUUAUUUCGCCUGUUUAAUAAAAACAUGUCUUUUUGAUUAUAAUUUAAAGUCUAAUCUGCCCACUGAUAAAUUAAAGGGCCGCAGUAAUUUGACUGUGCAAAGGUAGCAUAAUAAUUAGUUUUUUAAUUGAAAGCUAGAAUGAAUGAUUGGACGAGAAUAAUAUUGUCUUUAUUUAAUUUAAUUAGAAUUUAAUUUUUAAGUAAAAAAGCUUAAAUAAUAUUUAAAGACGAGAAGACCCUAUAGAGUUUUAUAUUAAAAAUUUAUUUAAUUAUUAUAAUUAUUAUUUAAAUUUAGUAAUAAUAUUAUAUUGGGGUGAUAGGAAAAUUUAUUAAACUUUUUUAUUAUUUAAACAAGUAAUUUUGAGUUUUUGAUCUUAGUUUUAGAUUAAUUGAUUAAAUUACCUUAGGGAUAACAGCGUAAUUUUUUUGGAGAGUUCUUAUUGAUAAAAAAGAUUGCGACCUCGAUGUUGGAUUAAGAUUAAAUUUUAGUGUAGAAGUUAAAAAUUUUAAGUCUGUUCGACUUUUAAAAUCUUACAUGAUCUGAGUUUAAACCGGUGUAAGCCAGGUUGGUUUCUAUCUUAAAUAAGUUAUUUUAUUUUAGUACGAAAGGACCAAAUAAA
rnacentral:rRNA from 1 species